rnacentral:rRNA from 1 species
ACACGACUCCCGGCAAUGGAUAUCUCGGCUCACGCAUCGAUGAAGAGCGCAGCGAAAUGCGAUACGUGGUGCGAAUUGCAGAAUCCCGCGAACCAUCGAGUCUUUGAACGCAAGUUGCGCCCGAGGCCAACCGGCCAAGGGCACGUCUGCCUGGGCGUCAAGC